AGUGAACGCUGGCGGUAGGCCUAACACAUGCAAGUCGAACGGCAGCACAGUAAGAGCUUGCUCUUACGGGUGGCGAGUGGCGGACGGGUGAGGAAUACAUCGGAAUCUACUUUUUCGUGGGGGAUAACGUAGGGAAACUUACGCUAAUACCGCAUACGACCUACGGGUGAAAGCAGGGGAUCUUCGGACCUUGCGCGAUUGAAUGAGCCGAUGUCGGAUUAGCUAGUUGGCGGGGUAAAGGCCCACCAAGGCGACGAUCCGUAGCUGGUCUGAGAGGAUGAUCAGCCGCACUGGAACUGAGACACGGUCCAGACUCCUACGGGAGGCAGCAGUGGGGAAUAUUGGACAAUGGGCGAAAGCCUGAUCCAGCCAUACCGCGUGGGUGAAGAAGGCCUUCGGGUUGUAAAGCCCUGUUGUUGGGAAAGAAAAGCAGCAGGUUAAUACCCCGCUGUUCUGACGGUACCCAAAGAAUAAGCACCGGCUAACUUCGUG
rnacentral:rRNA from 1 species